rnacentral:rRNA from 1 species
GAUGAACGCUGGCGGCGUGCCUAACACAUGCAAGUCGAACGGACAGGCGCUGCUUUUGCUGGGUGCUCGAGUGGCGCACGGGUGUGUAAAACGUGAGUAACCUGUCCCUGUCUUUGGGAUAUCUUUAGGGAAAUGGGGCUCUUACCGCAUAGGAGCUCUUGAUGCACGGUGGGCGUUGGUAAGAUUCGGCGGUUGGGGCUGGUAUCGCGGCUUAUCAGCUUGUUUGUGGAGUAGUGGCUUACCAAGGCUACGAAGGCUAGCCGACCUGAGCGGGGGACCGGCGACAAGAGUACUGAGAGACGGCCCAGACGCGUACGGGAGGCAACAGUGGAGAGUAUGGCGCAAUGGGCGGAAGCCAGAUACAGCGACGCCGCGUGCGGGAUGACGGCCUUCGGGUGAUGAACCGCUUUGGACUGUGACGAAGCGUGAGUGACGGUAAUGAGUAAAGAAGCACCGGCUAACUACGUG